rnacentral:ncRNA from 1 species
CAAAGGCUUGGUCCUGACUUUAACAUCAACUUUAGCUAUACUUACACAUGCAAGUAUCCGCACCCCUGUGAGAAUGCCCCCCAGUUCCCCGUCCGGGAACAAGGAGCUGGUAUCAGGCACACUUUGAAGCCCACGACGCCUUGCUUAGCCACACCCCCAAGGGAAUUCAGCAGUGACAAACAUUAAGCUAUAAGUGAAAACUUGACUUAGUUAAAGCUAAGAGGGCCGGUAAAACUCGUGCCAGCCACCGCGGUUAUACGAGAGGCCCAAGUUGAUGAACAUCGGCGUAAAGAGUGGUUAAGCUAAAAUUAAAACUAAAGCCGAACGUCCCCAAAGCUGUUAUACGCACCCGGGGGUAAGAAGUUCAACCACGAAGGUGGCUUUAUUAAACCUGAACCCACGAAAGCUACGGCACAAACUGGGAUUAGAUACCCCACUAUGCCUAACCCUAAACAUUGAUAGAAUUUUACAACCUCUAUCCGCCCGGGGACUACAAGCAUCAGCUUGAAACCCAAAGGACUUGGCGGUGCUUUAGAUCCACCUAGAGGAGCCUGUUCUAGAACCGAUAACCCCCGUUCAACCUCACCCCUCUUUGUUAAUACCGCCUAUAUACCACCGUCGUCAGCUUACCCUGUGAGGGAUCAAUAGUAAGCUUAACUGGUACAACCCUAAACGUCAGGUCGAGGUGUAGCGUAUGGAGGGGGAAGAAAUGGGCUACAUUCGCUACAACAGCGAACACGAAUGAUGUCCUGAAACGUACAUCUGAAGGAGGAUUUAGCAGUAAGUAGAAAAUAGAGUGUUCUACUGAAAUUGGCCCUGAAGCGCGCACACAUCGCCCGUCACUCUCCCCAAGCCUAAUAAUACAAUUAACUAAAAACUAAUAAUUGCAAAGGGGAGGCAAGUCGUAACAUAGUAAGUGUACCGGAAGGUGCACUUGGAAAAG